UACGUAGGGGGCAAGCGUUGUCCGGAAUGACUGGGCGUAAAGGGAGCGUAGGCGGCGCAGUAAGUUAGGAGUGAAAUCCCGGGGCCCAACCCCGGGAGUGCAUUUGAAACUGCCAUGCUGGAGUGCCGGAGAGGUAAGCGGAAUUCCUAGUGUAGCGGUGAAAUGCGUAGAUAUUAGGAGGAACACCAGUGGCGGAGGCGGCUUACUGGACGGUAACUGACGCUGAGGCUCGAAAGCGUGGGGAGCAAACAGG
rnacentral:rRNA from 1 species